AUUGAACGCUGGCGGCAGGCCUAACACAUGCAAGUCGAACGGUAACAGGAAGAAGCUUGCUUCUUUGCUGACGAGUGGCGGACGGGUGAGUAAUGUCUGGGAAACUCCCUGAUGGAGGGGGAUAACUACUGGAAACGGUAGCUAAUACCGCAUAACGUCGCAAGACCAAAGAGGGGGACCUUCGGGCCUCUUGCCAUCGGAUGUGCCCAGAUGGGAUUAGCUAGUAGGUGGGGUAACGGCUCACCAAGGCGACGAUCCCUAGCUGGUCUGAGAGGAUGACCAGCCACACUGGAACUGAGACACGGUCCAGACUCCUACGGGAGGCAGCAGUGGGGAAUAUUGCACAAUGGGCGCAAGCCUGAUGCAGUCAUGCCGCGUGUAUGAAGAAGGCCUUCGGGUUGUAAAGUACUUUCAGCGGGGAGGAAGGGAGUAAAGUUAAUACCUUUGCUCAUUGACGUUACCCGCAGAAGAAGCACCGGCUAACUCCGUG
rnacentral:rRNA from 1 species